GGGGCUGAUUCUGGAUUCGACGGGAUUCGCGAAACCCAAGGUGCAUGCCGAGGGGCGGUUGGCCUCGUAAAAAGCCGCAAAACAAUAGUCGCAAACGACGAAAACUACGCACUGGCAGCUUAAUAACCUGCACAGAGCCCUCUCUCCCUAGCCUCCGCUCUUAGGACGGGGAUCAAGAGAGGUCAAACCCAAAAGAGAUCGCGUGGAUGCCUUGCCUGGGGUUGAAGCGUUAAAUCCAAUCAGGCUAGUUUGUUAGUGGCGUGUCUGUCCGCAGCUGGCAAGCGAAUGUAAAGACCAG
rnacentral:tmRNA from 1 species